rnacentral:rRNA from 1 species
GUCUGAACCAGCCAUGCCGCGUGCAGGAAGAAGGCCUUCUGGGUUGUAAACUGCUUUUGCCGGGGGAUAAAAUUCCCAUGCGUGGGACAUUGAAGGUACCCGGUGAAUAAGCCACGGCUAACUACGUGCCAGCAGCCGCGGUAAUACCUAAGUGGCAAGCGUUGUCCGGAUUUAUUGGGUUUAAAGGGUGCGUAGGCGGCCUAUUAAGUCAGUUCUGAAAUAUCCCGGCUUAACCGGGAGGGUGGGAUUGAUACUGAUGGGCUUGAGUGGAAUCGAGGUAGGCGGAAUUGACGGUGUAGCGGUGAAAUGCUUAGAUAUCGUCAAGAACACCGAUAGUGUAGACAGCUUACUAGACUUCAACUGACGCUGAGGCACGAAAGUGUGGGGAUCAAACAGGAUUAGAUACCCUGGUAGUCCACACUGUAAACGUUGAUUACUCGCUGUGUGCGAUAUACAGUACGCGGCUUAGCGAAAGCGAUAAGUAAUCCACCUGGGGAGUACGCCGGCAACGGGUGAAACUCAAGGAAUU